UACGGGGGGGGCAAGCGUUGUUCGGAAUUACUGGGCGUAAAGGGUUCGUAGGUGGCCAACUAAGCCAGACGUGAAAUCCCUCAGCUUAACUGGGGAACUGCGUCUGGGACUGGAUGGCUUGAGUGCAGGAGAGGAACGCGGAAUUCCAGGUGUAGCGGUGAAACGCGUAGAUAUCUGGAGGAACACCGGUGGCGAAGGCGGCGUUCUGGACUGCAACUGACACUGAGGAACGAAAGCCAGGGGAGCAAACGGG
rnacentral:rRNA from 1 species